rnacentral:rRNA from 1 species
AUUGAACGCUGGCGGCAGGCCUAACACAUGCAAGUCGAACGGUAGCACAGAGAGCUUGCUCUCGGGUGACGAGUGGCGGACGGGUGAGUAACGUCUGGGAAACUGCCCGAUGGAGGGGGAUAACUACUGGAAACGGUAGCUAAUACCGCAUAACGUCGCAAGACCAAAGUGGGGGACCUCCGGGCCUCACACCAUCGGAUGUGCCCAGAUGGGAUUAGCGAGUAGGUGGGGUAAUGGCUCACCUAGGCGACGAUCCCUAGCUGGUCUGAGAGGAUGACCAGCCAGACUGGAACUGAGACACGGUCCAGACUCGUACGGGAGGCAGAAGUGGGGAAUAUUGCACGAUGGGCGCAAGCCUGAUGCAGCCAUGCCGCGUGUAUGAAGAAGGCCUUCGGGUUGUAAAGUACUUUCAGCGGGGAGGAAGGCGGUGAAGUUAAUAACUUCACCGAUUGACGUUACCCGCAGAAGAAGCACCGGCUAACUCCGUGCCAGCCGCCGCAGUAA